rnacentral:rRNA from 1 species
GGGUCAGUAGGUUGGUCGUGCCACCGGUACGUACUGGUCCCACUGAUUCCUCCUUCCUGAAGAACCGUAAUGCCAUUAAUUUUGUGUUGCGGGGAAACAGGACUGUUACUUUGAAAAAAUUAGAGUGUUUAAAGCAAGCUAACGCUUGAAUACAUUAGCAUGGAAUAAUGAAAUAGGACGAUCGAUCCUAUUUUGCUGGUUUCUAGGAUUGACGUA